GGUGGAGGUACAGCACUGUGGAUGUAGGUGGAGAUACAGCACUGUGGAUGUAGGUGGAGGUACAGCACUGUGGAUGUAGGUGGAGAUACAGCACUGUGGAUGUAGGUGGAGGUACAGCACUGUGGAUGUAGGUGGAGGUACAGCACUGUGGAUGUAGGUGGAGGUACAGCACUGUGGAUGUAGGGGGAGGUACAGCACUGUGGAUGUAGGUGGAGGUACAGCACUGGAUGUAGGGGAAGGUACAGCACUGUGGAUGUAGGUGGAGGUACAGAACUGUGGAUGUAGGUGUAGGUACAGCACUGUGGAUGUAGGUGGAGGUACAGAACUGUGGAUGUAGGUGUAGG
ensembl:lncRNA